rnacentral:rRNA from 1 species
UGGUAAUUGGGCAAAAGUCGUAACAAGGUUUCCGUAGGUGAACCUGCAGAAGGAUCA